UCCUACGGGGGGCAGCAGUGGGGAAUAUUGCACAAUGGGGGAAACCCUGAUGCAGCGACGCCGCGUGAGUGAAGAAGUAUUUCGGUAUGUAAAGCUCUAUCAGCAGGGAAGAAGCAAGACGGUACCUGACUAAGAAGCCCCGGCUAACUACGUGCCAGCAGCCGCGGUAAUACGUAGGGGGCAAGCGUUAUCCGGAUUUACUGGGUGUAAAGGGAGCGUAGACGGCAGCGCAAGUCUAGAGUGAAAUGCCGAGGCCCAACCCCGGAACUGCUUUGGAAACUGUGCGGCUCGAGUGCGGGAGAGGG
rnacentral:rRNA from 1 species